ACGGGGUUCAGUUCAGACAGUUCUCCUUGUAAAGAAAAACCUCAGAAUUGGCCGUCUUUUUGGUUCUUUUGAUGAUCAAAUUAAGGAAUUGGAGGGAGAUAGAGAAAAAGCUUCAAUAUUUUAAAUCUAAGAUAAUAAGAAGAAAAGGCGCUUGGAUGUGGAGCAUGAUUUCAUGGUUAAGAGAAUGAAACUGGAGGAUGUGCAGAAGUCACAUGUUGUUGAUGCUAGUGUGUUGCCCGAGUCAACUACUAAUGAACUUCAAGAAAUUUUAGUUUGUUCCAUGACUGACUGGGCUUACAAACCUUGCUUUUAUACUUGUAUUCCAGAGAGCUAUAGAAAGGCUUCUGUCAUUUUUUCUGAGAGCGAAUUUGACGCUUAGAGGACUUGGAUGGAAGUACAAUCGAGCAACAAGAGGCCAAAUUGAAGAGUCUGAAUCAGAGACUUAUGCAUGAGGGAAAUCGAUAUGGAGUGGUU